rnacentral:lncRNA from 1 species
UCCAAGAGGGAGAGCCCCCCCAUCACAGGAGUAGGGCAGGAUGGGAAGAACAGAAAUAUGAUCUGAUGGGGACUCCUAACACCUAUUCCACAUCCCUGGCAGGAGCCAGGACUACCCCUCGACCUGUGAACCAUGGGGGAGAUGGAGCAGCUGAAGCAGGAGGCGGAGCAGCUCAAGAAGCAGAUUGCUGAUGCCAGGAAAGCCUGUGCGGACAUCACUCUGGCUGAGCUUGUGUCUGGCCUGGAGGUGGUGGGACGAGUCCAGAUGCGGACACGGAGGACGUUAAGGGGACACCUGGCUAAGAUCUAUGCCAUGCACUGGGCCACUGACUCUAAGCUGCUAGUAAGUGCCUCGCAGGAUGGGAAGCUGAUCGUGUGGGACACUUACACCACCAAUAAGGUGCAUGCUAUCCCGCUGCGU